GACACCCACAACCAUAUAAUCAACCAUUUCUACAGCUACAGUCACUGCCAGCCAUAUCAUAGCACUGAAAAAAUAACACAUAUUUUAAGCUUUUUUUAAAGUAAAACAGAAGAUUUGACGAUAUUUGUAUUUUAAUCAUAUAGCGUGACGUUUUACUACAAGGAGAUACAAUGCAUUUUACAUUACAAAAGCGAAAUAAGACGUGGAUGCCAGCUAUCAACUUGAGCAUCGUGGGAUUGGUGGUUUAUAUUAUGGCCUGCCCUGUGUCCAGUAUGGAUGUGCUGGUCCAUAACCAGAUCAACGUCCUGAACGGCACCAUGGUGAGGAUCCAGUGCAUCUUCACCUCCUGCUACAAGAUGGACGUCAAUAAGUUUGCCAUGAACUGGACCUACCAGGAGAACACCAACGAGACUGAGGAGAUGUUCAUGACCUAUAAGAAGGGGAUGAUGCCCCUGCGGACAGACCAGUUCAGUGACCGGGUGCAGUUUGUGGGUAACCUGGAAAAGAACGACUUGUCCAUCACCCUCUCUGAUGUCCAGCUGUCGGACGAGGGCGUCUAUAACUGCUACGUCCGUAACCCCCCCGACCGCAUCCAGGGCCACGGAAUCAUCAACAUGUUUGUCGUCACAGAAUUGCCUCCCCCGCGGGACUCGACCAUAGCGGUGGCGAUCGGGGCGUCAGUCGGCGGUGCGCUGGCUCUGCUCAUCCUGUCCAUGGUGGUGGUGAAGUGUAUACGGCGUCACAAGAAACAAGAGCUCAUCUCUGACGAGCAGAAGAUGGAGGAAGAGGGCAAGCUGGAUGCAGAGGGGUGCCCCGAGGAGGGAACCAAGCAGCUAUAACCGGCCUGCAUGGUCCUGGAGGCCCAAGGUUCGCUGGAGCCCAACCUCCUCCCUCACCCCGGAAAGCAUUCCUGCCUGAAGAUGUAUAGUGACCCUUGCUUGAAUCCUCGUCCAGCAUCUGCCUCACCCCACGCCGCCUCCCUCCCUCCUCUUGUGCAUCCAAACAAGAUUGCAGUUAUGGGAAGCCCCAGCCACCAGCCACGCCACCCACGCCACCCCUGCCUCUAUCUGCAGUCAGUCGUAUCUCCUCUCUUCUUUGACGGGGAGCCACAAAAGGUGUAGGAGACUAGUAGACGGCAGUCUCCAAAAUACAUUUCUCUUUUUUAAGACCUUAAUUUGAUCACCCUGUAGCAGCAUGACUUUCCUACAAUGCAGGACAUUUCAAAUGUGUACUGUAUUUGAGGUUUAAAAAGGCUUCCGAAGUUUUCCCUCAUGAAAAAUGCAUCAACUCUUAAAAAAAUAGCAAUUCAUUCUAAUCCACAUAAUCAUUCACAUUUCCUGUUGCUGCAGGACUAUUUUCAUUCUGUAGAAAACUGGCUCAAAUUAAGAUCCUACAUCUGUAGAGUAAAUUGAUGGUUUGACAUCCGUGAUUACUGGGAAAGAUCAUGCUCUCUCUCUCUCUCUCUCUCUCUCUCUCUCUCUCGCUCUCUCUGUAUCGCUCUCUUAAAAUGUUGUCUUCUAACUUGCCACUCCAUUGGAUAACAAAUUAUUUACUUCCAAAUCAUAUAAUUCUCUCUCGCUCUCUCUCGCUCUAAUUUUCUUGCUCUAUCACAUUACUUAGCGAUGCAUAAUGGUUGGGGCAAAAAAGUUCCCUUUUUUUCUGACAGCUAGUGUGUGUGUGUCCAAAUUAUACCUUUCUGUGUGAGAAUGGUGUGGGUGGAUUUUUGGCUGUGUGUGUUAGUUUUUAUGUACAGUGUAUAAGCUUGUGAAUGACCUUCAGAUGUAACUACGAGCAGUGUGGGUGUAUAUAUAUAUGUUUGUGUGUGUGUGUGUGUGUGUGUGUGUGUGUGUGUGUGUGUGUGUGUGUGUGUGUGUGUGUGUGUGUGUGUGUGUGUGUGUGUGUGUGUGUGUGUGUGUGUGUGUGUGUGUGUGUGUGUGUGUGUGUGUGUGUGUGUGUGUGUCUGUGUGUGUGUGUGUGCGCGUGCGCGCGCGCGCGUGCGUGCGUGCGUGCGUGCGUGCGUGCGUGCGUGCGUGCGUGCGUGCGUGCGUGCGUGCGUGCGUGUGUGUGUGUGUGUGUGUGUGUGUGUGUGUGUGUGUGUGUGUGUGUGUCUGUGUGUGUGUGUGUGCGCGUGCGCGCGUGCGUGUGUGUAUUUGAGAAUGUGCUUGAGUGUCCUUAGAGUGUCCGAGUGUCUUUCCUUCAAACUCAGAGUCUCCCUCAAUGGAGAAGCCAGGCAUGAUUUUAUCAGUAGUCAACUCUUCUGAACCCUUGCUUCACCUCCAAUAUGAGAUGUUAGCCUGUGUUGCUUGCUCAUACAUCAAAACAACACACAUUUGUAUUGCUAUGAAUGAAGCUAGUACAAUAUCAUACUUAAGCAUGACUUUUUUUGCAUACAUUAAGACAGGCACAAUUCUGUCUACAAUGGAUGGAUCAUUAAUGGUCUGACAUUACAUACUAACUGACAUUGUACAAAAAACCCAAUCCCCAAAUGAUGUCCCCCUUUUGUCCACGUGCAGUAACCCUUACACAACACCUGAAUGUCCGGCCCUAGUUGGUCGUCGACACUCAAAUGAGCACACAGACACAUUGACUAUACGUCAUCCAACACAUAAGCUUCAAACACCACAUACAGCCGUGUAGCUGUUUUGCACAUCAGGAGUCCACACGCUGAGGCCUACACAUACGUAAAAGCUGAGCACUUUCAGGGAAAACCGAAAAAAAGUUCAAUAGAGAACAAUUUAUAUCAGAUACAUAUAUUUAUACGUUUUGACCAAAUACCAAGCUGUGCUCUAGAGGUGUGCUUUGCUUGCUGUCGCUAUUUACGUGUGGUCCUCACCGUCUUAAACUAUCAAUGUUUGAAUGUAUGAGGCCUCUCUCCUCUGAGGUAAUUGAUCUUGGGUGUUCUUUGGAUGUUACUUGUUUAGCUAUAUUAGUGUUGCACUGGUUGUGAAUGUAUUUGGGAGACAACGUGAGAUGUCCAAGUUGACGCAGCAACUACUUUUGAAAUGAAUAUACAAUCAAUCAUUCCCCUUUCCACCCAUUGAAUUUCAAACUACCUUCACCGAUGUAGGGCUUACGUUACAUUAUCAUACAAGUAUUAUAAUGUAUGUACGUCUGUGAAGGAUCACACAAAGUAGCCAAAAGCACAGAUAAACUGUGGAUUUGCUAAACAAUAUCACAACCGUAAAAUAGUAACAUUUAUUUAUUUUAGUCAAAAUUUGUAAAAUGUUAUCUUCAUUUGCUCCUUGUGUUUAAACGUCUUAGCUUUGUAUUUUCCAACAGACAGUUUUGGGGGAGCAGAUAGCCUAUGGGAGUGUGACUGUAGGUUGGCAGAAUAUGACUGGGUGCCUCUGGUGUUGUCUGAUGUGGUUUUAAGGCCUAAAGCCUGGGGCCACGCUGAUUCUGUGCCCAGGAGUGCCCUACCUCAUCUGGAGACAGUCUCUCCCUGUCUCUGCAAUGGGCACUGCAUGCAUAGGCUGCCUUUACGUUAUUCACUGCCAAAGCUUGUUUCUUUUAUACUUUGUUUCUUAUUAUUUGUCUCCUCAGAUCCUAUCCAUCCUAGUUUAGAUUUCAUUUGAUUGAGUAUUGUACUUUGACAUUGUUGAAUUUUGUACCACGUAGUUAUGUAAUUUGUACUUUGUGAUGUGACUUUGUGGUUGUCCUAGCUGUUGACAUUGUGGUAGCCAUCAUUACUUGGUCUUUGGUAAGUUGGCUUGAGUUUGGGGAGCUCACUACUGAAAGAUCAUGAAGUAAACAGUGGAAGGUCAAUGCUGAUUUCCACUUGUAGGGUGUACACACUCCCUUUCUUGAAUGACUUAAUUACUAAUUACUAUAUGAAUUCAUUAAACUCCUGUGCAAUUGUGACUGUGGUGUUAAUCAGUUUGUAUGGAGUCUGAGACAUCAGCUAGAAGCAUGGUUAGAAGUCUGUGAAGCUUGUGGUCAAAACCAGAGAAUAUAUCUCGAGGUCACAAUCAGACUUAAUUUUCAAAGUAAUGACGGUACCUCAAGAAUUAACCAAAAAAAAAACAUAUAAUUUAGAUUGUACUGUAUUUUAUACACGAACACACACACAGACACACAGUGCUACCGAUAGGUAGGGGACAGAGCACCUGUUCCGGGGAAAAAAAUAAAAUGUGUAGCCUAGUGAAAUCAACAUGACCUCCAUUUCUCCUGUCACUCACUCUGACGUCUCCGCUGGAGUCCUGAAUGCUGGGUAGCUAGCUGGGAUAGCGGAGGUCCCGGAGUUUUCCCUGUCUGUCUCUGUGUGAUCAUGCAUGUUGUUACUGCAGUGUUCCUCUGUGACGCAUGGCUCUAUCCAGGCCCUCUCGUACCGAACACCAGAAAUGCUUGCACUGUGCACUGUGUCUCUAAAAAUGAGCUGUAAUCAAUAUUGUAUUUUGAAAUAAAAAUGAGUACAUAAAUAUUA